rnacentral:rRNA from 1 species
GACGAACGCUGGCGGCGUGCUUAACACAUGCAAGUCGAACGGAAAGGCCCUGCUUUUGUGGGGUGCUCGAGUGGCGAACGGGUGAGUAACACGUGAGUAACCUGCCCUGGACUUUGGGAUAACUUCAGGAAACUGGGGCUAAUACCGGAUAGGAGCUCCUGCUGCAUGGUGGGGGUUGGAAAGUUUCGGCGGUUGGGGAUGGACUCGCGGCUUAUCAGCUGGUUGGUGGGGUAGUGGCUUACCAAGGCUUUGACGGGUAGCCGGCCUGCGUGGGUGACCGGCCUCAUUUGGACUGCGAUACGGCCCAGACUCCUACGGGCGGCAGCAGUCGGGAAUAUUGCACAAUGGGCGGAAGCCUGUUGCAGCAACGCCGCGUGCGGGAUGACGGCCUUCGGGUUGUAAACCGCUUUCGCCUGUGACGAAGCGUGAUUGACGGUAAUGGGUAAAGAAGCACCGGCUAACUACGUG